GCCAAAAGUCAACUGGCCAAUGUAGCUAAAGAAGGUCUCACCUUAGAAUACAACCAGUUUUUCAGAGCUGUUUUGCAAAGGCCGGUGAAUUGUCAACGUCAUUAAACCUCUGACAAGCCUUGGGUUCCAGAUAUAUAAUAAGCCUUCUGUGCCAAGGUAUGCACUUUGAAUUCUAUAAUAAUGUUGCUGUCUGUUACUCUUUUGGUGAAGUCCAAAUCUCAGUCAUUUUGUGUACACCUCAUUUCAGGAUUAAUCAAGAGAAUAGUCAAAGCUUGCCAAUGAAGCCCACUUCCCAAGAAACCGGUGAAGAAAAGGACACAAAGCCAUAUAUUGUCCUGAUGGAUUGAUUAACUUACCACAAAAGGGCUCUAACGGCAGGGCAAAGGUAAUAAGACCAGCGCCUAAAUCACCGGUCUAGUGCCCCAUAGUCCAUAGCAAUGGUGUAAAGUAUCUUUGGUCUGACUCAAUGUGCUUUGCUUUAAAAAUCUAGAGUACUACAGACAAAAUGGUCGCUCGACGUGAGAAAAGUGACGAUGGCUGCAGGACUAUAUCAUCGCCAUUCGUUGGAUCAUCCCAUACUGAAGGAAGGAAGGGUUUAGAGUCCGAUUUAGAACAUUCAUUGGGAGUGACAAACUAUACUCAGGAGGUGGAAAACGUUUGGAGAUUCCUUUAUGCCAUGAACCCACACAAGGUCAGCCUGGAAUUUGUGAGGGACAUAGAAAAAGUCAGUGCCUUCUUCAACAAGCUACGUGACCAGAAGCUUGCCGACCAGACUAUUUUCAACUACCUGAAGAACAUACACAGAAUCAUGAGAGCAAACAAUCUCUCUGGCCAAAUGCCGAAGCUCUACAAGUCCUGCAAAUCCCUCAUGACCGUUGCAGAAGAUAUACAUUAGAGAUUGUCCAAAGGAAUUUCCAAAGAACUUGUCAGUAAAAGGUACCUGACACUGAACAUUACUAUGAAGACGCCAUACUGAAUGUAUGAAGCUCCUGGAUGUAGGAAAACCUUUCUUCUUACUUCUUAGAUGAAAUCAAGGCUGCCCAAGGACGAAUCCUAAAAAACACAUUCAAAACUUGAAAUCAAUUAUUAUCUUGAGGCCCUGCUGGUCCUCAAACAUUUACAGAGGCCAGGUGUAGUGGCAAAUAUGUCUGUAAGUAACGUUCUCCUUAGGCAGAUAGAUCUUGUUGUAUCACUUACCAAAAUUACGAAAACUACUAAAUUUAUCUCUCUUAACCCAUAGGUUUCUGAGUGGAAAGACAGGAUCCAACACACCUAUAAAGAUACUGCAAGGUUUAACAUUGGUGUUCGAAAUCACAAGACCGCUACGUAACAAGUUACUUCGUUUGUGCUAACUAGGGAGGAAUAAAUGGUAAGAUUUCCCUUAAUCUCAACAUUUGAAGUUUAAAUGUGGCUUUUCAGUCUUCUCACUAAUUUACUUUCCUCCUAGUGGUUUAAAGUUUACUUUACGAAAGUUGGACCAACUCUGAUUAAAAGAGACACACCAAAGGACAUAUUUUUCUUAUCAACCAAAGGAUUGGAGAUUCACAACGUGUCCAAUGACAUCAUUCAGUACCACAGAAAGUAUCAUGUUCCCAAAAUUUCCAGCCAACUUGUCGGGACAAUCUGUAAGCAAUGGACUGUCCCAAAGUAUUCAGACUCUGAAAAGUGUAUUUCCACCACAAAAUUAGUUUCACACUAUAAUAUAACAGCAGAGAGGAG